GAUGAAGAACGUAGCGAAAUGCGAUAAGUAGUGUGAAUUGCAGAAUUCAGUGAAUCAUCGAAUCUUUGAACGCACAUUGCGCCCCUUGGUAUUCCAUGGGGCAUGCCUGUUCGAGCGUCAUUUGUACCUUCAAGCUUUGCUUGGUGUUGGGUGUUUGUCCUGAGGGACUCGCCUUAAAGGUAUUGGCAGCGGUCGUGCCAGCUUCUCGCGCAGCACAUUGCGCUUCUCGAGGCGGUCGAUCGGCGUCCACGAAGCUCACCUCCACCGUUUGACCUCGGAUCAGGUAGGGAUACCCGCUGAACUUAAGCAUAUCAAUAAGCGGAGGA
rnacentral:misc_RNA from 1 species